GCACACACAGGGCUGUGCCCCCUUCUACACAUGAACUAACUGAGAAGAAACAUCACUUCCCAAUAUAACUGUUACGCUAUAAAUUAACAUUCACGUCAUGGCCAAAUCCUCAUAGCAGUUGUGCUGUACAGAGAAGCUGCUUUCCAGAGCCACGGGGGCACAGCCUGAGCAGUUUGUGGAGAAGGGGACCAAGGCCUCUCAGCCUAUGCUGGGCUCCAGGCUCCAUCUUGAAGAUCUACGAGUGUUCUGGUGGAGAUGCUUCUGCAAAGCCCGGCCCCAUCCUGAAUCUGAGGACAUCAGACUUGUGCACAUGUGGACUGAUGCCAAUGGAACCAAUGGAAUGUCUCUGGGUACACAUUCACUGGGACUGAGGACUGAAUAACACUAGGAAAGGACCAUGCAAGAUAAAGAGGAGGAGCAUAACUUCUGAAGAAACUGUUUUGAUCUGCUUUGGGUUUUCCCAAUAUUGGCAAUUCUUUGUUUUGAAUACAUUUUUUCCCCUUUAAGAGAAGUAUACUCCAAGCCAGUCUUGUGCUACAGCUUCUUUACCUUUGUCUGCCUAACUCAGCUGGUAUUUAAUUGGUCAGCAAUAGGAGGGAAGUCUCCUUUGAGGUAAUGAAUAUUGACUGUUUAUGUUGAAAUGUCACUGUGAAAAGAAAGCCCAGCACCAAAGAGGCGGAACUCAGUGUGAGAGUUUCAGACACAAAGGAGACACCAGCAAAGCACAGGCAUUGAAAAGCAAAGCAGCUGAAAUUCA
rnacentral:lncRNA from 1 species